GCAAGUCGAGCGGUAACAUUUCUAGCUUGCUAGAAGAUGACGAGCGGCGGACGGGUGAGUAAUACUUAGGAAUCUACCUAGUAGUGGGGGAUAGCUCGGGGAAACUCGAAUUAAUACCGCAUACGACCUACGGGAGAAAGGGGGCAACUUGUUGCUCUCGCUAUUAGAUGAGCCUAAGUCGGAUUAGCUAGAUGGUGGGGUAAAGGCCUACCAUGGCGACGAUCUGUAGCUGGUCUGAGAGGAUGAUCAGCCACACCGGGACUGAGACACGGCCCGGACUCCUACGGGAGGCAGCAGUGGGGAAUAUUGGACAAUGGGGGAAACCCUGAUCCAGCCAUGCCGCGUGUGUGAAGAAGGCCUUUUGGUUGUAAAGCACUUUAAGCAGUGAAGAAGACUCUUCGGUUAAUACCCGGAGACGAUGACAUUAGCUGCAGAAUAAGCACCGGCUAACUCUGUGCCAGCAGCCGCGGUAAUACAGAGGGUGCAAGCGUUAAUCGGAAUUACUGGGCGUAAAGCGAGCGUAGGUGGCUUGAUAAGUCAGAUGUGAAAUCCCCGGGCUUAACCUGGGAACUGCAUCUGAUACUGUCAGGCUAGAGUAGGUGAGAGGAAGGUAGAAUUCCAGGUGUAGCGGUGAAAUGCGUAGAGAUCUGGAGGAAUACCGAUGGCGAAGGCAGCCUUCUGGCAUCAUACUGACACUGAGGCUCGAAAGCGUGGGUAGCAAACAGGAUUAGAUACCCUGGUAGUC
rnacentral:rRNA from 1 species